CGGGCGCGGCUUAACCAUGCAAGUCGAACGAUGAUUAUCUAGCUUGCUAGAUAUGAUUAGUGGCGGACGGGUGAGUAACAUUUAGGAAUCUGCCUAGUAGUGGGGGAUAGCUCGGGGAAACUCGAAUUAAUACCGCAUACGACCUACGGGUGAAAGGGGGCGCAAGCUCUUGCUAUUAGAUGAGCCUAAAUCAGAUUAGCUAGUUGGUGGGGUAAAGGCCCACCAAGGCGACGAUCUGUAACUGGUCUGAGAGGAUGAUCAGUCACACCGGAACUGAGACACGGUCCGGACUCCUACGGGAGGCAGCAGUGGGGAAUAUUGGACAAUGGGGGCAACCCUGAUCCAGCCAUGCCGCGUGUGUGAAGAAGGCCUUUUGGUUGUAAAGCACUUUAAGCAGGGAGGAGAGGCUAAUGGUUAAUACCCAUUAGAUUAGACGUUACCUGCAGAAUAAGCACCGGCUAACUCUGUGCCAGCAGCCGCGGUAAUACAGAGGGUGCGAGCGUUAAUCGGAAUUACUGGGCGUAAAGCGAGUGUAGGUGGCUCAUUAAGUCACAUGUGAAAUCCCCGGGCUUAACCUGGGAACUGCAUGUGAUACUGGUGGUGCUAGAAUAUGUGAGAGGGAAGUAGAAUUCCAGGUGUAGCGGUGAAAUGCGUAGAGAUCUGGAGGAAUACCGAUGGCGAAGGCAGCUUCCUGGCAUAAUAUUGACACUGAGAUUCGAAAGCGUGGGUAGCAAACAGGAUUAGAUACCCUGGUAGUCCACGCCGUAAACGAUGUCUACUAGCCGUUGGGGUCCUUGAGACUUUAGUGGCGCAGUUAACGCGAUAAGUAGACCGCCUGGGGAGUACGGCCGCAAGGUUAAAACUCAAAUGAAUUGACGGGGGCCCGCACAAGCGGUGGAGCAUGUGGUUUAUUCUAUGCAACGCGAAAAACCUUACCUGGUCUUGACWUAGUGAGAAUCUUUCAGAGAUGAGAGAGUGCCUUUGGGAAUUCACAUACAGGUGCUGCAUGGCUGUGGUCAGCUCGUGUCCUGAGAUGUUGGGUUAAGUCCCGCAACGAGCGCAACCCUUUUCCUUAUUUGCCAGCGGGUUAAGCCGGGAACUUUAAGGAUACUGCCAGUGACAAACUGGAGGAAGGCGGGGACGACGUCAAGUCAUCAUGGCCCUUACGACCAGGGCUACACACGUGCUACAAUGGUAGGUACAGAGGGUUGCUACACAGCGAUGUGAUGCUAAUCUCAAAAAGCCUAUCGUAGUCCGGAUUGGAGUCUGCAACUCGACUCCAUGAAGUCGGAAUCGCUAGUAAUCGCAGAUCAGAAUGCUGCGGUGAAUACGUUCCCGGGCCUUGUACACACCGCCCGUCACACCAUGGGAGUCUAUUGCACCAGAAGUAGGUAGCCUAACGUAAGAGGGCGCUUA
rnacentral:rRNA from 1 species